rnacentral:rRNA from 1 species
UCCGGGGGGGGCAAGCGUUGUUCGGAAUUACUGGGCGUAAAGGGCUCGUAGGCGGCCAACUAAGUCAGACGUGAAAUCCCUCGGCUUAACCGGGGAACUGCGUCUGAUACUGGAUGGCUUGAGUUUGGGAGAGGGAUGCGGAAUUCCAGGUGUAGCGGUGAAAUGCGUAGAUAUCUGGAGGAACACCGGUGGCGAAGGCGGCAUCCUGGACCAACACUGACGCUGAGUGAGCGAAAGCCAGGGGAGCAAACGGG